CUGUUGAGUUUGCUGCAGUUCAAGACAAAAAUUUCGCAAUAUUCAAUUCCCAAUCUUAUCUUCUCAACCCACCACGCACAGAUCUAGAAUUUCAAAAAAUAAAAAUAUCAGAGACUUCUUCAUCAGAUCCGUUGUACACAAAUCUUCGCCGGAAUCUCCAUAGCCAUGCCUCCUUCUACACAAAUCUUAUCGCCGAUGCUUCUUCAUCUUUGAUCCGUUCCUUCGCCGUAAAGGUUUCCUGCUCCACCGGAAAGGUUUCCUGCUCCACCGGAAAGGUUUCCUGCUCCGCCAGAAAGGUUUCCUGCUCGCAACUCGCUCCUCCGCUUCUUCACCGCGGGUAACUACGUACCUUCCUCUUCUCCUCUGCUCCACCGCCUGUAACACUGCCUUGUAACAUCGGAAAAGGUAUCCUGCUCUUUUUCAAUUUUGUUGUUUUAAUUUCUUCAACUAUUUCUAUGGCCUAAUAAAAAAAAAAUCUUCCAAUUUUAAUUAUUUCCCACAUUUUAAUUAUGUUGAAUUAAUUUCGCAAUUUGUAUGACCUAAUAAAAAAUAAAAUUCAUUAACCAGGAACUGAAAAAUAUUAGGAUAUUGAAUUGGAAAGUGAUAUUUAACACUUAAAAGUCUCUAAUUUUAUAUUCAUUUGAUAAGAAUAUCGGUAGAUUUAUAUCUUAAUUUUCAAUGAAACCUUUACAUUUAUGAGUUCAAGAUAAUUUUAAUGGGAACAUUGUAUUUGGUGUUAUACUUGCUUGAAUGUACAAAUUUGUAUCUGCGUUUCUUAAAUUCGGUAGCCAAUUUGGUCGAAGGGUUUUGCAUCCUGUCGUAUUUUUGUGUUUUGCGCCACGAGCGUAUCGUAAUUGUAUUUUAGAUAGUGAUGAUGAGUUGAUGACUACUGAUGAUGAUGGGAAAGGGUAUAACCCUAUUGAGAAAUUUCCAGGGAACUCUGAGAGAGUUAAGAUUUUGAUCUGGGUUUGGAUAGAGUAAGUAAAGAGCAAGAUGAAUAUGCCUGAUGUUUGGGGUGAUGAAGAUCAUAAACUAAUAUUUAAUUUUUUUGGUGUACGUCUAAUAUUUUGUUUGAGUCUGUUUGCUCAUGAUCAUCUGUAGGAUCGCUUCCAACCCUGCCCUUCCAACACCCAUUGUUUCUCAUUCAGUAUUUUAUGUGUUUUGAGCAUUUGAACUUGCUUAGAUUAAUCAAUGUUGUUUGAACCAGUAGAAAUUAUUAGUAGUAUUGAUCUUCAUAAUUCAGGAAUAUGGUUAAUUCUACAGAUUAAAGAAGUUUAGUUUUAUGUGGUAAUGUUGUCUGAAUCUGUUAUAUCGAAUCAACUUGAUUGGAAGCCUUUGGGUACAGGCAUUCUUGAACCAACUUGAUUGGAAGCCUCUGGCAAUGGAGAUCCAUUCCCUGCACCUUUUGACACUAGGCUUAGAGUUAUAAGCUCCUUUUUGACAUGCUGGUAGAGUAGAAAAGUAAUUUUUACCUUUCGCAUUUACUGCAGCCUUAACAUUCGGUUUGACAAAGGCCGGCACUGAGAAUGAUCAGAAUGAAGGUUUUUAAUUCGAUUUUUGAGGGUUUUUGGCUUGGAUCUGAUAUCGUGUAUUUUCUGCCUAAUUGUUGUUUGAAGUUGUUGCGGAAUGCAUGAAUUAGGGUUAUUGCUAUGUUUGCUUGUAGUUGUUCCAUGGCAAUUGUGCUAUAUUUCUUGGAUACUGCUAGCUCUUCCCCAAGUUAUCUUUAUAAUGGAAACGUGGUUAAGACUAAUCAGAAUCCUGAUAUUGAAUCAAGGUAAGCUACCUAUAUAUUCCCAAUUUCCCAUAGGCAAAGUUAUUAAAUUGUUUAAUCUCCUGCAUAAAUUCAAUUGAUAGCCAUAUAAUCAAAACAAGUUGGGGCGUGAUAUGUGAGGUUCGCACAAUGUGACUAGUAUUUUGCAUUAGAGGCAUGAUUUGCAUUUUCUGAAGCUGGAUAUCAGUGCACAGAACUGAUCAGAACUGUGCACUGAUCUGCAUGUGAACUGAUCUGCACAGUUUCUGAUCAGUUUUGUGCACUGAUCUGCACAGCUCUGAUCAGUUCUAUGCAGAUCAUUGCACAGUUCUGAUCAGUUCUGUGCACUGAUCUGCAUAGUUCUGAUAAGUUCUAUGCAGAUCAUUCCACAGUUCUGAUCAGUUCUGUGCACUGUUCUGCGCACAGUUCUGAUCAAUUCUAUGCAGAUUUUCACAUUUUCUCACCCCAUUUUCGCAUUUUUGCAUUUUUGCACCCAAUUUUCAUAUUUUCGCACCCAAUUUUUAACUAAAGAAACUAAGGAUUGAUUUCAAACUUAUUACAUGUUUCAUAUGCAUAGUUUUAACUUUCUUAGACUCAUUCCAACAUAUUUUCUGAAGCAGUUUUUCGCUUGAAUCUUUGACAGGAGAGUGCACUAGCAAUGUGUUGUCUGAAAAUCGUCCACCAUCAGAAUGGUAGGCAGCUACUUUGAGGUUAGAGGAUACAUUAAUCGAACUUUAUCUGUCGGGCUAUCCAAAUACAGCAUCUGAAGUUGUUGAUAACCAACAGCUUCCGAAGGAAACAGAUGACGAAGAUGGUUUUAUGUUGACAACUGAUGGGUUAUGUACAAAGAGAAAUGCCAUACUCUAAUGAGGAGUUAGAAGAAACUCGAGAACAAUGGGCAAAGUAAUUUAAGGACAACUAUUUGAUGGAUGCCGACGAAUGAGUUUGUUGUCUAGUAAUGUUAUGUUUUAUGUUUUUGUUAUGUAUUGGAUAUGACGUUGGAUGCUACUUGGAGCAUAUAUAUGGUUGUUGGAACAUAUAUGUAUGUUAUGUCUUAUAUACAGGUCUUUAGAAAUUCCCGUUUUGUCCGGGUUUCGCAAAUUACAAGGGAAAUUAUGGCAAAUUUUUUGCAACCUAUUAAACUAUUUAUAAUGUUUUUAUUAUAA